rnacentral:lncRNA from 1 species
UUUUUUAUUUUUUAUUUUUUUUAAAGAUUUUAUUUAUUUAUUCAUAGAGACACAGAGAGAGGCAGAGACAGGCAGAGGGAGAAGCAGGCUCCAUGCAGGGAGCCCAACGUGGGACUCGAUCCCGGGUCUCCAGGAUCACGCCCUGGGCUGCAGGCGGCGCUAAACCGCUGCGCCACUGGGGCUGCCCCUAAAUGCAAUUUAAGAGGUCAGUUUAUUUUGUAGCUUAAUACAAGGAAAGUUUUGAGUCUUGGUUUUCCUCUCAAUUUAACUAUGCUAACUCCUGGUCAUCUUUACAGAGGCUGAGCACUUCUAGAAUACCAAACUUUAAUGUCACUGAUAAAUAAAACUCAUUCUUGCCUCCAGAGGCAAGGAUAACACAUUUUAAAAAUUUUAUUUAUUUAUUUAUUUAACAAUUAAAAAAAAAAAGUUUAAGUAAACACUACCCAAUGUGAGGCUUGAAUUUAUCAACCUCAAGGUCAAGGGCCACAGUUCCACUGACUGAACCAGCCAGGCACUCCCAAGUAUCAUGUUAAUACUCUGAUACACAUGUAUUUACAAGAGUAUACCUGUUACAUUAAUUACAGAAACUGUAUAGUUGAUGAUUAAGAGGAAAAUCUGUAAAGUACAGGAGUUAAAAAAAUGGGAGGGGGCAGUAAAAAUAGGAAGCAAAAAUUAGCUACCUACUCUGUUAAUGAUCACCCAGGAGAGAUCAAGGCACAGGAUAUAAAAAGUAUUGGAAAUAAAAAUAAGUUAGGGGCACCUGAGUGGCUCAGUCGAUUUAAGUUUCUGCCUUCAGCUCAGGUCAUGAUCCCAGGGUCCUGGGAUUGAGCCCUACAUCCCUGCUCAGUGAAAAGUCUACCCAUCCCUCUUUCUCUCCCUCCUCCUGCUGUCUCACUCUCUUCAAAAUAAAUUAAAUACAAUCUUUAAAAAUAAGUAAAAAUGAUUUGGGGCACCUAGGUGGCUCAGUUGGUUAAGUGUGUGACUUCAGCCCCGAGAUCAAGCCUGGUGUUAGGCUCCACACAGAGCAGGGAGUUGGCUUGUCCCUCUGCCCCGCCCCCCCCAUACACUCUCCUCAAUUUCUUCAUUUGUUAAGAGGGCUAUUUCAAAAAUCCAUCUCUUCUAUCACUGAACCCACCUGCUGGGGCGCCUGGGUGUCAGACUCUUAAUUUUGGCUCAGGUCAUGAUCUCAGGGCCCUGAGAUAGAGCCCUGGAGUCAGGCUCCUAACUGAGCAUGGAGCCUGCUUAAGAUUCUUGCUCUCCUGCCCUUGCCCUCCCUCCCCCACCCCUUGCUCUCAAAACAAAAACUACAACUGCUGUGGUAUAUAUACUAUAAAAGCAAAGAUAAUCCAAGUUCAGCUGACAUACAUUGGGUAUAAAUGGUAUUUAUUUUUAGCUGGUUCUGAUCUUAUAUAUCAAUGUUUAAAAAAUAGGAAUAGGUUAUCUAAUACAGCUGGGCACACAAUAUAAAUACACAAAUCAGUUGAUAUACGAGCACCUAAGUCAAACUGUUUUUCAAAAUGUUUAACUGUUAGAGCCAAGAACCUUCAGAAAAAAAAGGUAUUAGCUAGAAGAAUAUUUAGCUCACCCAGGAAACUAUAUUUGGUGACAUAUUACAUGAUGAAACAAGGGCUUAGGUAUAUCGCUAUUUUGAAAAAAAGUUAGAAUCACACUGAAACUUGUUUUAGUUUCACACAGGUGUUGUGUUUGGGACAGAUUUCUUUUGUAAAGUAGAAAAACUAUCCUGUUAAGUACCAGUAAGGUUAAUUAAACCAUGCGUGAAGAUGAACUUUUCUAAACUUUAAUAAAAGCAUUAAAUCAAACAUUUACUACAGCUCAUGGUUGGGUCAAAAAGUGUAAUAUGGAGGCAGUGCGUGGGUGGCUUAGUCUGUUGAGCACUUCGGUCUUGGUUUCAGCUGGGUUCCUGAGAUGUGUCCAGGUCCCAGUGUCGGGCUCUGUGCUUAGUGGGGAGGUGCUUGCCUCUCUCCCUGCCCCUCCCCCAGCCCCAACGUGUGCAUUCUAAAACCUAAAAAAAAAAAAAAAAGUUCUUUCUCCCUCUGCCCCAUCUCCCUCCUUAGGAAAAAAAAAAAAGUGUAAUAUGGCAAUUUGCCUAGGCAGGAAAUAUUCUAAAAAUAACAUCAUGUGCAGAAUUAACAGGUUAUGCAUUUACGCAGUUAUAGAAAAACGCUAACAAUGACACAGGGUUUUUUCCUCUUAAAUGCCGUAACUUAACCAGAUAUUACAAGUUUCUGCUUUCUAAAGGAGAUAGUUCCCAGACCUAUAUAUGGACAAAUUCUUCUGAAAUAAUACACUGGAAAGUGGUGAGAACAUGAAAGUCACCUGGAAUUUAUCAAAACUGUUUAUGACUAUUUUGAAGUCACAGUCACAACUUUCUUACACCGGUAGUUUUAUACGGUCAGAUAACGUCCUGUAAUACAAGGGUAGCAUUUAUAUAUUAUAACAAUUAUUGUUAGGAUUUCUGCUGAUUGCCAAAUGUUUGUAUGUUGUCCUAAAGCCAUAAAAAAAUACAACAGGCAUGGACAUAAUUUAGGAUGUACAAACAUGAACAAAAACACCUGAAAUUUGAAGCCUCUUAAUAAAUUCUUUUGGGUCUAGAAUUUUAAUAAGGAAAGCAGAUGUCAAGAUUUAUUUCCUGAUGCAGGAGCAAAAUUACCAGUUCUGGCUUUUGUUACACAAGUAGACUUGGGUUGUCUGUGUUCCGUGGAUUCUCAGCAUAAAAUUUAAAAUGCCAGAAGUCUCUUAAAUCUGUGUUGAUUAAUUAGUAGCUAUCAAUUAUCAUCUAAUGCUGUCAGGCACUAAGCUACACAUUUGCAGAUAAUUAAACAAUUUACAGAUGAGGAAGCAAGUCAAUCAAGGACAUGUAGGCUGUAGAGGCGCCUGGCUGGCUCAGUCGGUAGAGCAUGUGACUUGAUCUUUUGAGUUGUAAGUUUUAGGCCCAUGUUGGCUGUGGAGACUACUUAAAAAUAAAAUUAAAAAAAAUUUUUUUAUUUGAAAGAGCGAGACUGAGCGCACGCAUGAGCAGGGAGCCUGAUGUGGGGCUCAAUCCCAGGACCCUGGGAUCACAACCGAAGCUGGAGGCAGAGGCUUAACAAAUUUAGCCACCCAGGUGUCCCUUAAAAAUAAAAUCUAAACAACAAAAACCACAUAGGUUCUAACAGGUGAGCAUAAACAGGAAAGGAAAAGUCAUCAGACUUGCUCAUACUUGCUCUGAUUCCCUCUCUAUGUCCAACUAGAAAGAAAGAAAUCAAAUCAAAUCUAAGAAAUCAACUACUUUUUCUAACCCUAAUCACACUUUAGAGUCAGAUUAAGGAAGAUUAAGAAUGAGAUUAGAAACCUAGUGUAGGACAGACUUUGACUAGUGAUCUAGUUUUCAAUUUGGAAUUAGUUAGCAGUAUCUGAAUUCCAGGCCUACUCUGAGACUUUAUGCCAGCCAUUACCCUCUUUGAGAGGACUUCCUCAAAAGAGAAAUGGGGGAAAAAAAUUAUAAGGCUUGAUUGAGCUUCACUGGCAAAUGACUCUAAAUAAAAAAAAAAAAAAUCUGGUCACAAUCCACCCUCUUUUCCAAUCUUAUCUAUGUGCUGCAUGCAAGCCUAGUCAAACUGGUUUCUUAUGUUGCGCUUCAAUGACCCUGUCACUAUUGAAAUCCACAAACAUUUUACCAAAACUUGAUUUUCUCUGUG